GAUGAAGAACGUAGCGAAAUGCGAUACUUGGUGUGAAUUGCAGAAUCCCGUGAACCAUCGAGUCUUUGAACGCAAGUUGCGCCCGAAGCCAUCAGGUUGAGGGCACGUCUGUCUAGGCGUCACAUAUCGUUGCCCAAUGCCUAUUGCAGUGCAAUAGGAAUUUCUAGGGCGAAUGAUGGCUUCCCGUGAGCGUUGUUGCCUCGCGGUUGGUUGAAAAUCGAGUCCUUGGUAGGGUGUGCCAUGGUAGAUGGUGGUCGAGUUAGAACGAUACCGAUCAUGUGCAUGCUCCCCAAAAUAUGGCCUCUAUGACCCACACGCGUCUUUUGACGCUCAUGACGAGACCUCAGGUCAGGCGGGGCUACCCGCUGAAUUUAAGCAUAUCAAUAAGCGGAGGA
rnacentral:misc_RNA from 1 species